GAUGAACGCUGGCGGCGUGCCUAAUACAUGCAAGUCGAGCGAACAGACGAGGAGCUUGCUCCUCUGACGUUAGCGGCGGACGGGUGAGUAACACGUAGAUAACCUACCUAUAAGACUGGGAUAACUUCGGGAAACCGGAGCUAAUACCGGAUAAUAUAUUGAACCGCAUGGUUCAAUAGUGAAAGACGGUUUUGCUGUCACUUAUAGAUGGAUCCGCGCCGCAUUAGCUAGUUGGUAAGGUAACGGCUUACCAAGGCGACGAUGCGUAGCCGACCUGAGAGGGUGAUCGGCCACACUGGAACUGAGACACGGUCCAGACUCCUACGGGAGGCAGCAGUAGGGAAUCUUCCGCAAAGGGCGAAAGCCUGACGGAGCAACGCCGCGUGAGUGAUGAAGGUCUUCGGAUCGUAAAACUCUGUUAUUAGGGAAGAACAAAUGUGUAAGUAACUAUGCACGUCUUGACGGUACCUAAUCAGAAAGCCACGGCUAACUACGUG
rnacentral:rRNA from 1 species